rnacentral:rRNA from 1 species
AUUGAACGCUGGCGGCAGGCCUAACACAUGCAAGUCGAGCGAGCGGCGGACGGGUGAGUAAUGUCUGGGAAACUGCCUGCUGGAGGGGGAUAACUACUGGAAACGGUAGCUAAUACUGCAUACCAUCAGAUGUGCCCUGAUGGGACUAGCUAGUAGGUGGGGUAACGGCUCACCUCGGCGACGAUCCCUAGCUGGUCUGCGAGGUUGACCAGGCACACUGUAACAGAGACACGGGCCAGCCUCCGACGCUAGUCAGCAGUGGGGAAUAUUGCACAAUGGGCGCAAGCCUGAUGCAGCCAUGCCGCGUGUGUGAAGAAGGCCUUCGGGUUGUAAAGCACUUUCAGCGGGGAGGCGGUACCCGCAGAAGAAGCACCGGCUAACUCCGUGCCAGCAGCCGCGGUAAUAC